rnacentral:rRNA from 1 species
AAUGAACGCUGGCGGUAAGCGUAACACAUGCAGUCGAGCGGUAGAUUGAUUUAGGUCAAUUGAGAGCGGCGAACGGGUGAGUAAUACAUAGGAAUAUACCUUUUAGUGCGGAAUAGCUUUAGGAGACUAAAGGUAAUACCGCAUGUGCUCUACGGAGGAAAGAUUAAUCGCUAAAAGAUUAGCCUAUGCCCGAUUAGAUAGUUGGUGAAGUAAUGGUUUACCAAGUCGAUGAUCGGUAGCUGGUUUGAGAGGAUGAUCAGCCACACUAGGACUGAGACACGGCCUAGACUCCUACGGGAGGCAGCAGUGAGGAAUUUUAUGCAAUGAGGGAAACCUUGACAUAGCUAUACCGCGUGAGUGACGAAGGCCUUUGGGUUGUAAAGCUCUUUCAGUAGGGAAGAUAAUGACGGUACCUACAGAAGAAGUCCCGGCUAACUUUGUGCCAGCAGCCGCGGUAAUACAAGGGGGACGAGUGUUGUUCGGAAUUAUUGGGCGUAAAGAGCGUGUAGGCGGUUUAUUAAGUUGUAUGUGAAAGCCCAAGGCUCAACCUUGGUAGUGCAUGCAAAACUGGUUGACUAGAGUACAGGAGAGGAAAAGGGAAUUUUCAGUGUAGAGGUGAAAUUCGUAGAUAUUGGAAGGAACACCAUGGGCGAAGGCGCUUUUCUGGACUGUUACUGACGCUGAGGCGCGAAAGCGUGGGGAGCAAACAGGAUUAGAUACCCUGGUAGUCCACGCCCUAAACGAUGAAUGCUAAACGUCGGAUUUUUUAUUAUUCGGUGUUACAGCUAACGCAUUAAGCAUUCCGCCUGGGGAGUACGAUCGCAAGAUUAAAACUUAAAGGAAUUGACGGGGACCUGCACAAGCGGUGGAGCAUGUGGUUUAAUUCGAUGCAACGCGAAAAACCUUACCAGGACUUGACAUUAUUUGUGUAAUUUUCAGAGAUGAAAAAUUACUAUACAUAUAACAGGUGCUGCAUGGCUGUCGUCAGUUCGUGUCGUGAGAUGUUGGGUUAAGUCCUUCAACGAACGCAACCCUUGCCCUUAGUUGCUAAUGAUGUAAAUCAUGCACUUUAAGGGGACUGCUGAUGUUAAAUCAGAGGAAGGUGGGGAUGACGUCAAGUCAUCAUGGCCCUUAUGUCCUGGGCUACACACGUGCUACAAUGGUAAUUACAAAAAGAUGCAAUAAGGUGACUUGGAGCAAAUCUUUAAAGAUUACCUCAGUUCAGAUUGUUCUCUGCAAUUCGAGAACAUGAAGUAGGAAUCGCUAGUAAUCGUGGAUCAGCAUGCCACGGUGAAUUCGUUCUCAGGUCUUGUACACACCGCCCGUCAAACCAUGGGAGUUAGGUUUGUUCGAAGAUAUUUUGGCUAACUGUUAAAAGAGGCUAAUAUUUACAGCGAGCUUGGCGACUGGGGUU